rnacentral:lncRNA from 1 species
AGCAGAGAGGAAGAGUGGGAAUGGUAGAGGGAUGAGGGAGUGUGGGAGAAAGAGAGAGCAAGAGAGAAAGAGGGAGAAAGAGACAGGGGGAGAGAGAAGAGAAGGGAGCAAGAAAGACAGCAAGAGUGUGAGAGAGCAGGACAGAGAGGAGAGAGAGGGAGUUAAUUACGGAAAGUUGGCAGCCAGCAGAGGAGUGAGCAACCAGCUGUGGCAGGAUACAACGGAAAGAAUGAGAUUAAACCCAGAAAAAUGCAGGACCCUCCUCCUUUCACCUCGGACCAGUAUAGAGGAGGUGAGGGUGGCUGCGGCGUGCUUGACCUCUUCGGACAUAUAGAGGAGCUGCUCGUCCUCCAUUCUCGCAGGAAUGAUGGUAGACUGCAGCAGCACUUCGCUCUCACUCACCAUGAAGCUCUGUAUAGAAGUAAAGGGUUACCGUUAUAUUGGCGUAAUGUGCCACACAUCCAAAACAUGUCAGGUGCCGGGUAGAGAAACAGACAAUGGCAUAAACCCGCAGAUUGUCGUAUACUCCCAAGUGAUGGAUAUUAAAACAGAACGGACCCCAAACCCUGAAAUAAAGUCUAACCUACCUGUAUGAUAUCCUGGGGGAUGGAGGACAUGUUUUUUGGGGAGCAGGAGGAGUACAGCACCCCCAGCUUUUGCGUCAUGGUGAAGUCCGGCAGCUUCAUGACGACACAGCGUCCUGCUAACACCGGUUCGUCUGCUGAGCCAGCCUCCGCCUGCACUGUGGCACUGCGACAACCUCCACAGCCCAACACGGAGGUCACAGGUCAAAACACAUGCAUAAACUUAACUGCGGACCUGCACUAGAAUUGUUUGAAAUAGUAAAAUAACGGGUGUAAACUUUAUACUGGUGCAGAUACUAAAUAACUCUGGCCAUGUGACCCUACCAUGUUUUUCCUGUUGUACGUUGUACUGCUGCAUCCUAUAGGUGGUGAACUCAUAGGAUACAGCAGGCAAUGUGUAGGCAUGCAGUAACUGAACACAGCAGGAGUAGUGCAGCCGCUCAGGACAACAUUCUCAUUAAAAUGGCUCCACGUCCUGAUGAUAUCCUCGUACUGUCCUGUCACAGGAGCCACUGUCCAUCAUCUGUCUCUGGGGAUAAAGUCAGGCUAAUCACCCCCUCUUCCCUCCCCACACCCUUCUGACCUGGCCCAUAGUCACUGUCACACCCCCUUUCACUGGUGAACGUAAUUACUGUACACGCCCUUGGUCAUUGCUUACAAUUUGCUCUCAACAUUUUUUUUUAUCAGAAACUCUCACCAGGUGCAAACUUUACAUCUGUUUUUUCAAAGAUGGAAUUAUUUUUGGACAGAGCAAAAGACAACAUGCAUUACAUAGUUGCUGACAUUGUUCUAUUUUAUUUAGUUUCGUUUUUUUCCAGCCAGCACCUGACCAUUGGAUGUGCAUAUUUUUCCUGGAACUUGCAUCACAUCUUUUAAUUCAGACCUCUGAUAUUUAUUAGUAGACAUGAUACACUACACAGAACGAUAACAUUGUUACAUACUGAAAUUGUUCGCAUCUUCUUUACAAUCAUAAUAAGCGUCUGAAUAAAAAUAGAGACUAUGGACAACCUUUUACAUCCACAAAACGGCACUAAGCUCAAAAUAUUGUGAGUACUGUAAUAUUCCGGUGCAGUUUCACAGAUGUAAAAGUGUUGCCCUCUGUGUCCAUGUUAAAAUGCAUACCCAUUUUUUCAAAUAAAUUAAAACAUACCACUGGCAAUAAAUAUGGCACUAAAAUGCAUUACUUAAGGCAUACUCUACUUUAGUUAACUUAGGGGUGAGAUGAAGUAUGAACUCAGUUCAAUGACAGGGGAAACUAACGCUUAGGUCUCAGCCAAAGCAGGUAUACAUUCCCAUUGCAUUUGCCAUCGGGAUGAUGUUAUCUUGAAUGAUGUAGACUAAGCGUUUUUCCAUUUUGUGCCUACUGAACACAGUGUUCCCUGUUUUGUACCAUCACAAACAGCAGGUAUUUUCAUUGUUUUGGAUUGACCUGUUUGCACUUGAAUUGUCCAUCAUUUGAGUGGAUUCACACUGGAGUCAACCCUUCCUCAUAUCAUUCAUCGCACUACGGUGGAAUGCAUUGGAUAACCAAGCGCCCAAAGCAGUAUAGUAAAGAACAUCCUUACAUUUCCCAUCCCUUUCGUUACAUACAGUAUGCUAUACACAGUCUUGGAUUGUUAGACAUUCCCUUUCAACAAGUUGCAAUUCUUCAUGUGACACAUUUUACAGUGCACGCUGUGUUUGUGUACCGUGUGUACAGUGCAUGUGUGGUUGCACAGACUCCUAUGAAUGGCUCGUGACUGUGUCGGUGGCAGUGAGAGAAGCACAAGGUGGCACUACAGCCUACUUCUGGAAGCACUAUAGCCUAGAGAACAUGGGCUGCUGUGGGUAAAGGUGGACAUGUUGCCAAACCACUAUCAUUAGUACAAGUUUGCUGGUAUCAUCCCUGCUCCAGAAGUCAGAAGGAAGGACACAUUCUCCAUUUCAACUGGUAUAUUGAUAUAAUAAUUUAUCACCAUCUCUUGUUAACUUUCAU